GGUGAGUGGGAUUUUAGUCCUGUAUCUAAAACACUAUCAUGACUAGAUCCACACUCAUCCA
rnacentral:pre_miRNA from 1 species